UGGGGAAUUUUGCGCAAUGGGCGAAAGCCUGACGCAGCAACGCCGCGUGAGCGAAGAAGGCCUUCGGGUUGUAAAGCUCUGUCAGGGGGAAAGAAGGCACCUGGGUUAAUAGCCCAAGGGCUGACGGUACCCCCAAAGGAAGCCACGGCUAACUACGUGCCAGCAGCCGCGGUAAUACGUAGGUGGCAAGCGUUGUCCGGAAUCAUUGGGCGUAAAGAGCGCGUAGGUGGCUUGUCAGGUCUGAUGUGAAAUCCUGGGGCUCAACUCCAGAACUGCAUCGGAAACCGGCUUGCUAGAGUCUGGGAGAGGAGAGUGGAAUUCCUGGUGUAGCGGUGAAAUGCGUAGAUAUCAGGAGGAACACCGGUAGCGAAGGCGGCUCUCUGGAACAGUACUGACGCUGAGGCGCGAAAGCUAGGGGAGCGAACAGG
rnacentral:rRNA from 1 species